ACUGUCCAGUCUUGCGCAAGGUCACUUCAUGCCCUUUGACACACGUACUAUAGUGGUCAGCACACAGCAUAUACUGUACAUGUAAAUAUGACCUUGCCUCAACCAGAAAAACCGUUAGGCCACAUUGCGCUAGCCUGCAUGCAGUUCAGUUCUACUACUCAUUCAAAAUGGUUAAAGACGGAGCAGGCACAAAUGUAUCGUCUUCUCGAAAAAACACUGAUUACAUGUAUUGUAUUCAGUUCCAAAUCCGCGUCCAAAAGCAUCACACAUGUCUGUAAACAUACAGCUUAUUAGUCAGAGUUAAUAUUCCUGCAGCACCAUGGUCUUUGCGGAAUGGGAGAUAGUUUGGACAGAACCUUUCGUUUCUGGAGCCCUGUUCUUUCAAACCUACAGUUUGUUGUAGGCCUUACUGGGAGCCAUGGACACAAUGGAACAGUCAAUCGAUACGUGAGGAGAGGAGUUUUGCAACAGAGACGGGUGCGACAGUGACGGGAAAAGGCUCAGGAGACACUGGAGAAGCACGUAUAUAUAGGAACAAUCUGCAGCAAAUUAAGUGACUCGGAGUGUAAUUGUUAUAACCAUUUGAAGCACGCGAACUGGAUAUCAAAACAGUGACGUUAUUUCUGCAAGGCUUCAGUGUUACAGCUUUGGUGUUUUUCAUCUUUGAUUCGAUAAAAUUUGACCAGUACAUGAAAGUUCUGUGCUUCCCAGGACCUGUUUCCCCAGGUCUGUACAUUUCUCCAUUUUUUUGUCAAUAUUAUGAUGAUCUGAGACUGAAUGUUAAUUGCCCUGGAUUUAUCAAGCCAUUGAAGUUUCCUGUAAAUUUACUCACCGAGAUAUUGAGACGAGUUUCAUAAUUAAAACGAAUAGGCUAGCUUUACUGUUUUAGCGUGGAUUGUGGCCUAAUUAUGAAACGAGAGGCAUUAAACUCAAACCAAAACCUUCCCUCUUUUAUCCUCAACAUUCAAAUUUACAUGUAAGUUGGAUUGUGGAAAAUCAUCUAGCCAUCAAAAAAAUCUUGUAAAAAUCAAGUGUAAAAUAACUUCCACCACCAUCUUGAUAGUUUUUCAUGGUUCAAGACUUCUGCAUCUAUUUAUUUGAAAAGCCAAUUAUAAUAUUUCAUUGAUUAUGAUGAUACACAUUUUGUAAAUAGUGUCAAAUAUAUACAACGUACAGUAUUUGCCAAAACA